rnacentral:rRNA from 1 species
UACGGGGGGGGGCAAGCGUUGUUCGGAAUUACUGGGCGUAAAGGGCUCGUAGGCGGCCAACUAAGUCGGAUGUGAAAUCCCCAGGCUUAACCUGGGAACUGCAUCCGAUACUGGAUGGCUUGAAUCCGGGAGAGGGAUGCAGAAUUCCAGGUGUAGCGGUGAAAUGCGUAGAUAUCUGGAGGAAUACCGGUGGCGAAGGCGGCAUCCUGGACCAACACUGACGCUGAAUCGCGAAAGCUAGGGGAGCAAACGGGG